GAUGCGCACACCUUCCUUUUUUAUACAACACUUGCCAACAAUAAUCUUUUUGGCCUAACUCCCAAAUAUAGUUGAAUGGAAACAAGUUAUGUCCUUCUGUUCCAACUCAAUCUAUUGAACAUGGCAGCUACAACUGUCACUAGUGCAAUCCCUAAUUCCCCAGUUCUUGACCAGUAUAACUAUGAAGAUUGGAGUUUCCGGAUUAAACUCUACUUGUUAGCUGAAGAUCUUUGGGACGUUGUGGAAGCCACCACCGAAACUCCUAAACGAGAAGAUGAUGAAGCUAAGUUUAAGGCUUGGAGGAAGAAAGAUGCCAAGGCUUUAAUUGUAAUCCAGAAUUAUUGCGGGUCUGCUAAUUACUCUUUAAUCUGGGGCACUGAGAUCGCCAAAGCUGCCUGGGAUACUUUGGCCGAAACGCUAAACCCAGCUCAAGGACCUGAAGGCGAUGCCAAUGACUUGUACAUGCCUUUCUUCCAAACUUUGUUAGACAAUGAUUGGGAUGCUGCCAUGGAGUAUGUUAGGCAACAUCCUGAGAAACUAAAUGCGACCUUUGAACAAUUCGACAAUGGGACAGCUCUUCAUUUCGUAGUCUCAAACGGGAGGUUUGAAAUUGCAAAAGAGUUGGUGCAGCUAAUGAGCGAGGAAGACUUAGAAAUACUAGACUCUAUUGGUCGAACAGCUCUACAUUUAGCUUUAUUACAUCGAGGAGAUUCCCAUGAAAUAGUUAAGUGCAUGGUUGAAAAGAACAAGAAAUUACUUAGCAUUCGUUUUAACAAUGAUGAAAUUGCAAUUCCAUUUGUCUUGGCGACUAUAGAAGGAAGGGUAGCAAUGUCUCAGUAUCUCUGUUCUGCCUCCCCACUGGAAACUCUGGAGGACCUUGCCUAUGCCGGUGUAGUUAUGUCUGCGUGUGUGGUGAAAAGCCGAUUUGAUAUUCUGUUGGAUUUAGUUCAGCGCCAUCCGAAGGCGGCUUUUACUGAAAACAAGUCUAAAGUAUGCACGUACCACCUACUCCUACUAUCAAUACCGAAAAAGAACCUACUAUCGAUGCCUUUAACGAUGCUCGUACUAAUGCUCAAAAACUAGAAGGCGAUCAAGCUAAUCAAAGGCAUCUUAUUUGCCUCAUUUGCAUACGAGUUGGGGAGUAUUGUACAUCCUGUACGUCGUGAAACUAAAAAUCUGAAGAUCGUAUGACACCAAGGGCCCUAUUUACCAAGAAGCAUAAGGAAUUGGUGAAAGACGGCGAAAAGUCAAUGAAAGAAACAGCAACUUCUUGUACCGUUCGAUGUUGUUACUUUUUUCAAUAAGCUUGUAAAGAAAAGACAACAGAUCGAAGUGUAUCAAUCCGUCAAUGUGGUCCACGCUUCUGUAGCAGAAUGACAAUUGAUCAUCUCAGAGAAAGCAUCAUCAGAAAGACUAGCAGCAAUGAGGUUCAAGAUUGUUGUAUCUAUAGCUUCCCAUUCCUUAGAAUCACCAUUAUUAGAAUCAGUAGGAGCCACAACAAUACCAUCAAGAAAUCCAGACAGGCGAUGAACUUUGAGAAAUUUUUCCACUUGAUAGCUCCAUUGAACGUAAUUACUCUCAUCAAGUUUCAGUGUAAUGUAAUCGCAUGCAUUAUGAAGCAAAUCCAACGGAGUAACAGAAUUCUUCCCCAUUUUAAGCAAAAUUAGGGUUUACAUAGUAAAAUACAGAGAUUGAAAUUGAGUUGCAGGAAAGGAACAAGGCAACCACAAGCAAGAAUGCUAAGAGAACGAAGAACAAGAUGCGAAAAUCUAGAAAAUAGAGAUGAGUCAACACAGAAGCCUUUGAAGAAAGCAAAAUCUCAAGCUCGAAGAACAGAGAGAUUCGAAUACCGGUUACCGGAGAAUGAAGCAGCGAAGCAAGGAUCGCCGAUGAUAAUCAGAGGCGCUCCUCU